rnacentral:antisense_RNA from 1 species
AAGACAGGUGCCUGGGCCGCGCCGCCCCGCCCCGCCCUACCUGGGCGGGGUUGGGACCUUUCUGGCACCUGCAUCGAAGCCGGCGGCAGGGUGGACUUCGUUGUCCCGGUCCCAGACUACCCUCCUCCACCGCCGCCUCCCACUGCAAAAGGGCCUAGAUAAGGAACCUAAUUCGAGCUAUCCUUCUCUGUGAAGUCCGACGGCUGAGAACGUCAGGGCUCGUUCCCAGGUCUCUUUCCAGAGGCUAAGCUUUAUGCGAGCAUGGGUUACCAGCGAUGCAUCCUGAUCAAGCAAAGAAAGAGAGGCUGGAGAAGGAAGAGUGACAGAAGUAAGAGGAGAGUGUCUGUCCACUUCCACUCCAGCCCCCUACAGCUCAUCCUCCAGCAGGCAGCCAAGGGCACUUAUAGGAUCUCACAUCAGGUCGUUGCCUCACAUUCUGCACUGGCUUCCCAAGUAAUUAAAGUAAAAUCCAAAUUCCAGCUCGCAGCUUAGAAAACUCAGCAGGACUGGCCUCUGUCCUAUCCCACCACCUCAGUCCCUCAGGCUCAUCUCCUGUCACUCCUGCCCAUUUCUGGACCCCAGCCAUUCCUCAAACAGGGUGAGGAUGCAGUAUCCAAGGCACCAUCUUGAACUCAUUAUCGCCAAAUAUGUCAGCACCUUGAUGUUGGACUUCCCAACCUCCAGACCGUAAGGCAGUACAUUUCUUUGUAAAUUACGCAGUCUCAGCUAUUCUGUUACAGCAGCACAAAUGGACUAAGACAACCCCUGAGAUAGGAAGGGGUAAGGUAAAUGCAAUGAGAGUUGGGGUUUUCGAUCUUAGUCCAGUAAAGGAGCUGGAACUGUUCUGUAUAAUCAAAAGGCAAGGUAAUUGCUACAUAGAUUAUUUUCUUAUUAUUGCUGAUUCUUAUCCUAAAAUAAAGGACGUUGCCACUACACAUCCUCUAGAAUGACCAAAAAUAAAAAUACUGACAGCAUCAAAUGGGAUGACAUGGUGCCAGCUGGAAUUCUCAUACCUUGCUGAUGGGAGUAUAAUGUGGUACAGUCACUUUGGAAAAAAGUUUGACAAUUUCUUAUAAAAUUAUACAUAAACCUGUACUAUGACCUAGAGAUUCUACUCCUGUUUGUUCAAAAGAAAGGCAAACAUCUGUCCACUAAAAGAUAUGUACAAGAAUGCUCACAGUGGCAUUAUUUAUGACAGUCCAAACCAGGAGAUAAUCCAAAUGUCUGUAACCAAGAGAAUGGAUAAAGAAAUUUGGAUACGUCAAUUUAAUGGAUUACUACUUAGCAAUAAAAAUAAUUAGCCACACUGGGCGUGGUGGCUUAUGCCUGUAAUCCCAGCACUUUGGGAGGCUGAGGCAGGUGGAUCACCUGAGGUCGGGAGUUCAAGACCAGCCUGACCAACAUGGAGAAACCCGUCUCUACUAAAAUACAAAAUUAGCCGGGGUGGUGGUGCAUGCCUGUAAUCCCAGCUACUCGGGAGGCUGAGGCAGGAGAAUCGCUUGAACCCGGGAGGUGGAGGUUGCAUUGAGCCGAGAUUGCGCCAUUGCACUCCAGCCUGGGCAAAAAGAGCAAAACUCUGUCUCAAAAAAAUAAAUAAAUAAUAAUAAUAAUUAGCCACAUAUCCACACAACAAUAUUGCAUUAUCACAGGUAUAGUGAUAAAUUAAAUACUGUAUGAUUCCAUUUAUAUGAAGUUCAAGAACAGGCAAGUAAUCCAUGAUGAAAGAAGUACUUUCUGCCACUCUGGGGGUGGCAGCAUUGACUAAAGAGGUACAAGGGAGUCUUCUGGGGCCUGGAAAUAUUCUGUAUCUUGAUCUGGGUGGUGGUUACACAGCUAUAUGCGUGUUAAGAAAUCAUCAAGUUGUAUACUUAAUAUUAGUGUACUGUAAUGGCAUUACACUGUCUUUCAAUUAAAAUGUGAAAG